AGCAGUAGCCGCGGGAAUACGAAGGGGGCUAGCGUUGUUCGGAAUUACUGGGCGUAAAGCGCACGUAGGCGGAUAUUUAAGUCAGGGGUGAAAUCCCGCAGCUCAACUGCGGAACUGCCUUUGAUACUGGGUAUCUUGAGUAUGGAAGAGGUUAGUGGAAUUGCGAGUGUAGAGGUGAAAUUCGUAGAUAUUCGCAGGAACACCAGUGGCGAAGGCGGCUAACUGGUCCAUAACUGACGCUGAGGUGCGAAAGCGUGGGGAGCAAACAGGAUUAGAUACCCCCGUAGUCCCUGUCUCUUAUAC
rnacentral:rRNA from 1 species